rnacentral:lncRNA from 1 species
CGCCCUCGGCGCGCGCCCUGCCCGCGCCCCGCGCCCCGUCCCCGCCAGCUCCGCUCCGCCGCCGGCGGGUUCCUGCUUCCGUCUGCUCCCGCCGCUCCCCGCCCGCCAGCCCCGCCGCCCCCCCGCCCGGCACCCGUGGCAGCGGCAGCGCGGGCUCCGCCGGCGGCGCCGGCACUCCGAGUCUUGCCUAUGCUUCAAAAUGAAAGUGAGGAAGAAGAAUCCCUGAAAGUAUUAAUUUGAACAAUAAUUAUUGCUUGUAAGUAAGUACUUUUCAUUCUUUGUGAUGUUGCCUUCACAAUUGAAAACUGCUCUGUCGAUAAGCGUUUGUCACCUGAGAAGAGGAAACUGCAAAAGAGUGAUCAGGUUCUUCACUUUUCAGUGAUCACUGACAGAAUGGGUCAAUCAGAUACCUGUUUCACCUUUUGUUUCUCCGUACACGUAUAUCUCUCCCUUCUCCUCUUUGCCUCUCAUCUCUAAAAAGAUAAAUUCUUUGGUAGGUUCAUUAUGUACCCUCUGUCU